AUUGAACGCUGGCGGCAGGCCUAACACAUGCAAGUCGAGCGGAUGAAGGGAGCUUGCUCCUGGAUUCAGCGGCGGACGGGUGAGUAAUGCCUAGGAAUCUGCCUGGUAGUGGGGGAUAACGUCCGGAAACGGGCGCUAAUACCGCAUACGUCCUGAGGGAGAAAGUGGGGGAUCUUCGGACCUCACGCUAUCAGAUGAGCCUAGGUCGGAUUAGCUAGUUGGUGGAGUAAAGGCCUACCAAGGCGACGAUCCGUAACUGGUCUGAGAGGAUGAUCAGUCACACUGGAACUGAGACACGGUCCAGACUCCUACGGGAGGCAGCAGUGGGGAAUAUUGGACAAUGGGCGAAAGCCUGAUCCAGCCAUGCCGCGUGUGUGAAGAAGGUCUUCGGAUUGUAAGGCACUUUAAGUUGGGAGGAAGGGCAGUAAGUUAAUACCUUGCUGUUUUGACGUUACCAACAGAAUAAGCACCGGCUAACUUCGUG
rnacentral:rRNA from 1 species